rnacentral:tRNA from 2 species
GCAGGGGUAGCCAAGCCUGGUCAACGGCGCAGGAUUUAGGAUCCUGUCUCCUAGCGAGUUCGUAGGUUCAAAUCCUAUCCCCUGCA